AUGGCCUUUGAGGGUCCCUUUCCUUAUCUAUGGUCUUCUGAUGGCCUUAUGAGAUCUUCUAGAUGGUCUUUGGAGGUCUCUUUGCUUACCUAUGGUCUUAUGAGAUCCUCUAGAUGGUCUUUGGAGGUCUCUUUGCUUACCUAUGGUCUUAUGAGAUCUUCUAGAUGGUCUUUGGAGGUCUCUUUGCUUACUUAUGGUCUUAUGAGACCAUCUAGAUGGUCUUUGGAGGUCUCUUUGCUUACCUAUGGUCUUAUGAGACCAACUAGAUGACCUUUAAGGGUCCCUUUCUUUACCUAUGGUCUUAUGAGAUCAUCUAGAUGGCCUUUGAGGGCCCCCUUCCUUACCUAUGGUCUUCUGAUGGCCUUAUGAGAUCAUCUAGAUGGCCUUUGAGGGUCCCUUUCCUUACCUAUGGUCUUAUGAGACCAUGUAGAUAAUCUUUGGAGGUCUCUUUCCUUACCUAUGGUCUUAUGAAACCAUCUAGAUGGUCUUUGCAGGUCCCUUUCCUUACGUAUGGUCUUCUGAUGACCUUAUGAGACCAUCUAGAUGGCCUUUGAGGGUCCAUUUCCUUACCGAUGAUCUUAUGAAACCAUCUAGAUGGACUUUGGAGGUCUCUUUGCUUACAUGGGGCCAGGGCCAGGUUUUUGAAGACAAUAUAAAAACACAACAGUAUAAAAACAAAUCACUAAAACGGGGAGAUGGAGGCAGGGUAUAAAAAUAAAGUUGUUGUUGUUAUUAUUAUUAGGUUUCACUUAUGUCCAGACUGCGCCAGCAACUCUUUAUUAAAUAGGAUAUUCUGGCAGAUUGUUUUGGAUGCUAGGAAGUCUUAUUACAGACUUUUGAAUUGUGUUUUUCAAUUUCUACUGCAAAUUUGUAAAACUGUCAGGCCACUAGGAUCCCACAUCAGAAAGAGUCAGGGAGGCGAAAUAUAGCUUAUCUCCAUCAGAGAAUCCCCAUGAUUAGGAAGCAGUCUGGCUUUGAAGCUGCAAGGCUAUUCCAUCAUAAAAACAUUGUUUAAAAGUGGUGUUAGGCUCCGCACACAGCUAUGAGGUCCUCUGGAUAAUGUAGUUGUUUCAGUUCCCUGGGGGACUUCUGCGCAUGCACGGUAAACAAUGGGGGGUUUCUGUUAUUUGGACUUUAUUUUUCUAGGGUUUUUUUAUUGAAAGACAUAGGUUGGAUGCCUAUAUCUUUUGUGGCCAAAUUUGGUGUGAUUUGGUCCAGUGGUUUUGUUGUUUACUUCAUGGCAAAAACACACAUUACAUUUAUAUAUAGAUUUUUCUAGGGUUUUUUUUUUUUAUCGAAAGACAGAUUGGGUGACUAUGUCUUUUGUGGCCAAAUUUGGUGUGAUCUGGUCCAGUGGUUUUGUUGUUUACUCCAUGGGAAAAAUGCACAUUACAUUUAUAUAUAUAUAUAUAUAUAUAUAUAUAUAUAUAUAUAUAUAUAAAAGCUGUGCCCGGCCAUGGGUUGUUUUGGCGAAGUCUGGUGGUAUGGGAAAUAAAGUACAGUAUUGAGGAACUGGUGGUAGUUAAGGUAAAGGGUAAAGGUUUCCCCCUGACAUUAAGUCCAUUAUAAAUGGGUUCUAUAGCUGUGUGGAAGGGCCUUGAGUCUACACUGCCAUAUAAUCCAGUUAAAAUCAGAUAAUCUGUAUUUUAUAGGCAAUGUGGAAGAGGCUUAAGUGAGGCCUAACUCUGCCUGUCCCCUGAGCUGAGUUGGUUGCUAGGAGAAAAAGAAGAAAAUUUUAUAGGCAGUGUGGAAGAGGCCUAAGUGAGGCCUAACUCUGCCUGUCCCCUGGGCUGAGUUGGUUGCUAGGAGAAAAAGAAGAAAAUUUUAUAGGCAGUGUGGAAGAGGCCUAAGUGAGGCCUAACUCUGCCUGUCCCCUGGGCUGAGUGGGUUGCUAGGAGAAAAAGAAGAAAAUUUUAAAGGCAGUGUGGAAGAGGUCUAAGUGAGGCCUAACUCUGCCUGUCCCCUGGGCUGAGUGGGUUACUAGACCAAGUGGGCAGAGCUUAGCCUUCUAACUGGCAGCAAUUGGAUAAAAACAAUUAUUCCUCUCUCUCUAAUUAGGACUUUAUUUUUCUUUUCUUUUUGUUGUAUCAACCUAGAGGCAUGGAUGAGGGGUUGUGCUGUCAAUUUUCGAGGUUGUGGGGUGUUUAGUUUUGUUGUUUUGUCCGAGGCCGAAAUUUCAUUACUCUUUUAUAUAUAUAGAUAGAUUUCUGGGAGGUGACUGGCUUUAGCUUUUGUGUGGAAAUUUCCUGCUUGUUCCCAGCCCAGCUUUGCUGUUCAGAAACCAGGACUUUAGGCCCCUAAAAUGCCUGAAGUUGAAAACAAAGGCCAUCUGCCGAAACAGGAAAUCAAUCCGCAGAAUCCAAACUUCUGCGCGGGGCUGACAACACAGUAUGAAGAUGACAACAAUCCAAAAGGUCACUUAACUGUUAUCGUGAUAAAAAAGGAAACAACUAUCAUCUCAGUCAAAGAAUAUGUGGCAUCGGAUCAAAAUCUCACAGUAAGUGACCCCCAAUUUUGAUUUUAUUUUAUUGUUUCAAAACCGUUCCUUCAGGAUGCUUGCCCGACAGUUUUUGUCCAUUUGUUCAGAUUCUGCCCUCUGCCCACACCAUCUUCCCCACAAGGUCCCAAUUUGGAAUAAAAGCACACACAUCUGAAGGAGCGGUUAUGGGAAGCCGAGCUUUUGGCAACGUGGAGAUUUCACUGGCGUUUCCAAACCUCCCCAAGGGUCAUGCCUUUGACAUUGGAGAUAUAAUACAAUGUAAUAAUAAUAAUACACUAUUGUAAUUGUAUAUGUAUACUAGCUGUGCCAGGCCACGCGUUGCUGUGGCUAGGACUUAAUUUUUCUUUUCUUUUUGUUGUAUGAACGUAGAGGCGUGGAUGAGAGGUUGUGCUGUCAAGUUUUGAGGUUGUGGGGCAUUUAGUUUAGUUGUUUUGUCCGGUGCCGCGAUUCCAUUACACUUUUAUAUAUAUAGAUUACUUGUAAUAUUACUAAUAAUAUUGCCAUAUAGUUGUAUAGUACAAUAUAAUAAUAUAUAAUGCUUAAAUUGUGCUAUACUAAUAAUAUAAUAUACUAGCUGUACCCAGCCACGUGUUGCUGUGGCAUAGUCAGGUGGUUAGGGAUCCCUCUAGUUAGGAAGCAGCCUGGCUUGGAAGCUGCAAGGCUGUUCAGUGGUAUUCAAUGUGGCCAACGGAGGAUCCCGGGGGCCUCUGCGCAUGCGUAGUCAGCAAUGGGGGAUUUUCUAUCAUUUGGACUUUAUUUUUCUAGGUUUUUUUAAUUGAAAGACAUAGAUUGGGUGACUAUGUCUUUUGUGGCCAAAUUUAGUGUGAUUUGGUCCAGUGGUUUUGUUGUUUACUCCAUGGGAAAAACGCACAUUACAUUUUUAUAUAUAAAAACUAGCUGUGCCCGGCCACGCGUUGCUGUGGCGAAGUAUGGUGGUAUGGGAAAUAAAGUAUUGAGGAAUUGGUAGUAGUUAAGGUAAAGGGUAAAGGUUUUCCCCUGACAUUAAGUCCAUUAUAAAUGGGUUAUAUAGCUGUGUGGAAGGGCCUUGAGUCUACACUGACAUAUAAUCCAGUUCAAAUCAGAUAAUCUGUAUUUUAUAGGCAGUGUGGAAGAGGCCUAAGUGAGGCCUAACUCUGCCUGUCCCCUGGGCUGAGUGGGUUGCUAGGAGAAAAAGAAGAAAAUUUUACAGACAGUGUGGAAGAGGCCUAAGUGAGGCCUAACUCUGCCUGUCCCCUGGGCUGAGUGGGUUGCUAGGAGAAAAAGAAGAAAAUUUUAUAGGCAGUGUGGAAGAGGCCUAAGUGAGGCCUAACUCUGCCUGUCCCCUGGGCUGAGUGGGUUGCUAGGAGAAAAAGAAGAAAAUUUUAUAGACAGUGUGGAAGAGGCCUAAGUGAGGCCUAACUCUGCCUGUCCGCAAUUGGGUAAAAACAAUUCUUCCUCUCCCUCUAGUUAGGACAUUAUUUUUCUUUUCUUUUUGUUGUAUGAACGCAGAGGCAUGGAUGAGGGGUUGUGCUGCCAAGUUUAGUGUUUCUGGGAUGUGUAGUUUUGUUGUUUUGUUCUAGGCCGAAAUUUCAUUACCCUUUUAUAUAUAUAGAUAUGGAGAUAAUAAAUGGAGGUCCUGCAGAUAAAUAUAACAGGAAACUACAGUUGAGAUAAAAGCGUAAGUUUGAACUCGGCCUCAACCCCCGACCAAGGUCCCUCUUCCGCCGCCAGUCAAAUUGCCAGUUG
rnacentral:lncRNA from 1 species